rnacentral:rRNA from 1 species
GGGCGGGAACUAUAAUGCAGUCGAGCGAAUGGAUUAAGAGCUUGCUCUUAUGAAGUUAGCGGCGGACGGGUGAGUAACACGUGGGUAACCUGCCCAUAAGACUGGGAUAACUCCGGGAAACCGGGGCUAAUACCGGAUAACAUUUUGAACCGCAUGGUUCGAAAUUGAAAGGCGGCUUCGGCUGUCACUUAUGGAUGGACCCGCGUCGCAUUAGCUAGUUGGUGAGGUAACGGCUCACCAAGGCAACGAUGCGUAGCCGACCUGAGAGGGUGAUCGGCCACACUGGGACUGAGACACGGCCCAGACUCCUACGGGAGGCAGCAGUAGGGAAUCUUCCGCAAUGGACGAAAGUCUGACGGAGCAACGCCGCGUGAGUGAUGAAGGCUUUCGGGUCGUAAAACUCUGUUGUUAGGGAAGAACAAGUGCUAGUUGAAUAAGCUGGCACCUUGACGGUACCUAACCAGAAAGCCACGGCUAACUACGUGCCAGCAGCCGCGGUAAUACGUAGGUGGCAAGCGUUAUCCGGAAUUAUUGGGCGUAAAGCGCGCGCAGGUGGUUUCUUAAGUCUGAUGUGAAAGCCCACGGCUCAACCGUGGAGGGUCAUUGGAAACUGGGAGACUUGAGUGCAGAAGAGGAAAGUGGAAUUCCAUGUGUAGCGGUGAAAUGCGUAGAGAUAUGGAGGAACACCAGUGGCGAAGGCGACUUUCUGGUCUGUAACUGACACUGAGGCGCGAAAGCGUGGGGAGCAAACAGGAUUAGU